CUGCUUUGGCUAUCAAUUACAGAAGCAAAUCUGCUCAUUAGAUUUGCGAUGGGAUAGUUCUGAGUUGCAGUUGAGACGUCAGGGCUAGGUCUGAGUUGUCACUCAACUCUGCAGAUAGUGUUUAUUGGAAGGGGGUCAGUUACCAAGAGCAGAAGUAUUGAGAAAAUUGUUUCAUCUGUGUUUAGUACAUAUUUCCACAGGAAAAAUUAAGGCUAAAUUGGUUUCUCAGAGCAUUUUCAGACCUAUGAAGAGAUGGACUAGUUUUAUAGAAGUGACUGUUUGAGAGAAAGUUUGAAAUAUUGGACAACUUCUCUAAGAAUCAGCCUUGGGAGACACAGACCUGAGAUAAACCUUUGCUGAGCUGGGAAGCUCCACCGAUGUGUUGCAACAAAUUCAUGUUCAAUUUCACACUGGGUCACACACAAUCAGAAGAAAGACAUAACCAUGGCUUUGGGGAGAGCUGGACGGUCGUCGCAAGGCUGAUUGCACAGAAAGCUCUCCCGCUCCUGGCUCCCACAGGGACUUUGGGAAAGCACAUCUUCUCUUUCACAACUGAGACAACUUCUCAGCACACAGACUUCAGUGAAUUCAAAAGAUGGUUUUUCACAUGUUUUUCUGAUAUCAUUAUUUCGAUGAUAAUAAUAAUACGAACUGUUCAUCCCCUUCUUGUUUGCAUGAAACACUCUGCUACGAGACCACAUAGUACAAUGGAAAAGGACAAAAGUAGGCAAGUGGGAAGCCCUGGGUAUAAUACUGGCUCUGCCAUGACCAUGGGACAUCAUAUACCUUCUCUGGACUCCAGUUUUUCUAUCUACAAAAAAGGGACUGGGCAUUACUGGCUUUCAAAUAAUGGACCACAGAAGUUAGAGAAUUAAUAGGUCUCUAGGAUCUUAUUCCUCUCACUAAACUUUAGCCACCACAAAUUAAUUCUUAUCUGUUUAUAGCUCAGAUUUCCAUAUUAGAUUUUCCGUACAAAAAGUGGUUUGUAGCUUUAUAAGCUUGAAGAAAACUUCUCUGACCUUUCCAAUUCUCACUUCCUAUGAUUCUGUGACUUUUCUCUAUGACUAUUAGGCAGACUCAAUUUCCUGAAGGGCAUGUGUUCAUUAAUGCAGGUCACUGUGGAAAAUGGGAAACUGGUUCAUGCAUGAUAGUUUUCUUUAAUAUAAUCACCACUAUCAGCAAAAUAUGAAUUUAUUAAGCACCUAUUCAUGUACUGUGCCA